rnacentral:rRNA from 1 species
UACGUAGGGGGCAAGCGUUGUCCGGAUUUAUUGGGCGUAAAGAGCGUGUAGGCGGCUGGGUAGGUCCGUUGUGAAAACUCGAGGCUCAACCUCGAGACACCGAUGGAAACCCUCCAGCUAGAGUCCGGAAGAGGAGAGUGGAAUUCCUGGUGUAGCGGUGAAAUGACGCAGAUAUCAGGAAGAACACCCGUGGCUAAGGCGGCUCUCUAGUACGGUACUGACGCUGAGACGCGAAAGCGUGGGGAGCGAACAGG